CCCAAACUGGACGCGAUUCGAUUCACUGUUUCCUGGGGAUUUUCCGCUCCCUCGGACUUUGCGUCCAUCACACACAACUGGCAUAAUUCAUCCUACAAUCAAAUCAUCGCCGAGUGAAUUUCAGGAAUCGUUGUCGCAAGCGAGCUCGAUGUUUCGGAGUAUUCGAUAUGGAGUCGAAGCGCGAGCAUCGAGCGAAACCGCACGUUUACAUUUCUCGGCUGCGACUGCUGGCGACGAACCGCAAGCCAGAUUAUCACGAUAAUUUUUCCACGAUAAGAAGUUAAUUAUCGAUCAAGCCGCUAACUGGAACGCUAACAGAACGCUAUUAUGAUAUUCCAUCAUAAUAUCAACCGGUUGAUAGAACAUUCCUUUGGAGGGGAUGAUAAAAAAUCGCUUAUAUUUUCGAAAUAAAUUUUUAUCUCUAUAAUAAAUAUUUCUAAACGUAAGUAAGAUUUCUAUAAAAUAUUGCACUCUUAACUAAGUGCAAUUAAUCUGAGUGCAAAGUAAAAAUGAAACAGCAUUGUAGUCCAAGGUGCUAUAAAUUGCUUUUAAAAUAUCCGUACGACACUUUCUUUCAAACAGAAGAAACGAGGUAGUAAUUGAGAAAAAAAAAGAGAAUACAUAACAAAACAAAGUAACAACAUAGGAAAUUGGUUUCCCUCGGGCAGAAAAUAAUAUUCUCCUCUACCUUGUACAGAGAAUUGAUGCAACUGAAAAGUAAGCACGUUCCUUCGAACGUCGCGUACGUACGUGUAAUUACACAUCAAUUUCAAUUUUUAUUUUAUUUCGCUUGGUGAAUAUUUCAGAAGGUAAAAGGCCCCGUGUACUUUCUCCCGUCGAGUUCUCAUUCCGCUUCAGCAGAGGAACGAGCUCAAACAAGAAAGAUUUUCGAACUUCCUUAGUGAAAAAAAAAAAGGAAAAGAGUUUGAAUAUUUAGGAAGAAAUUAAAGAGGAUCGAUAUGUUGUUAAAUUAGAUAAUCUUGAUUUAAUUGUAACAUCAACGAAUCCAUUGGACACGUCGAAAAGGAACGCUUGGCGUCGUUGCAAAUCAAUUUCACCGGCCAACAAAGAGAUGGAAUGAAAGGAAUGCGUUCCACUCUGAGCACCGUAAUAUCGCGAAACGAACAAGAAAUCCUGAACAAUCGACGUCAACAAAAGCGAUGCAUAAAAAUCUAUACAGGGUGUCCCACUGACCAUUGUGUAUAUACAAAUGACAACGAGAAUAUUAAAAAAUCUACACACAGGGUAUACACUUUAAACUCGAUUUCAAACUUUCUCCACCUGUCGGCAACGACAGAAGAAACGAAAAGAUCGGAUUUAACACCUUCGAUUAGUUUCCAAAAUUGAUUAAUCUCGAAGGCUGAAAACAACUGGCGGAUGGCUGUUAAUCAAUUUCACCGGACAACAAAGGAACUCAACGAAAGGAAACGGCACGCGUUCCACUCCGCGCACUCUAAUAGAUCAUUCACACCGGUAACGAGCACGUGUGUCAUGAAUAUAACGUUACACCGUGUACAUUGUGUACGCAACGAUCGUUUGACGAAUUCCUUUGAUAUCGUUUUGCUUUUGCUUCAAACAUUUUCAGAUUUCUUUACGGGGUAAACUAUUCAGAUUUCUCGGAGCCGACCGUGGAAAAAUAAGGAUUCGUUGUUUAUUUUUUACUGCACCCCAGAAAAAAGGAUGAUAGAAGGUUUCUUUGUGGUUGAAAAAUGGCUUACAGUGUCAGAGGUUAAAUCGGCAAGGUAAAGGCAGGCUUCGAGGCGGUCAGGUCGCCGAGGCACAACGAUCACUUUUGUUCUUGGAACGAGACAAUGGCAGCUAAUAAGGAUCAGGCUAAUUUUCAUAUUCAGGUAUCCGCCCUGUGGCCCUGCAAGCCACGUUGUUGGACGGGUUUAGGGAGGCUCUAUGCUUUUGCCCGAUGAAUUUUCAUGGGUUCGACGAAGAAAGAAGAAUAACAGGAUGUCGAACUUGAGAGAAUAUUGAAUACAUCAUUUCGAAAUUAAAUUAAUCCGUCUGUUCAUAUUCGUAUAGAGAAACUUUGUAAUUCUAAUUCAAGUAAAAAUGAUCCAAGGAUUAAUAAUUAAAUAGAAUACAGAAACGCUUGCAUCGUUAUCACUUAAAAUUGAAGAAUACUUGAGCAAAAAUUUCAAGAUUUAUAAAAUAAGGAACCCUAAAUUCGGCUCCGUUGUCGGACAGUAAAUAUCUCACUCGAGGAUCAACACCAUAACUGUCGUACAGGAAUUUCACGAUGACUCGUUAAUUAACACUACUCCACUAAAUUUUCCGUCUUCGCUCGAGUAAAUUCGAGGAACAAUUUACUUAAUCACAAAAAAACGACCUCGACACAAAUUCUCCACGUAAGCACAACUGUGUGUUUCUUGAUUCUCCGUCGAUCCAGGGUCACUUGGAAAUCUUAUUUUUAUUAAAGGAAAAAUAAUAAAUGGAUCACCGGUAGUUUUCGAUCAGGUAUACGAACCUCGAAGUAGGAUCCAUCGCCGAUCGAUCGGUUCUCGGAAGACGCGUCGGUGUCGGAGAGGUCCGCUUUGCUCGCGGCUGAAUCCUCGUAGUAUCGCGAUCUCGUGGCUUUCUGGCGUUUCGAGCGGUUCGAACGAUUCGAGCGGUCCGAGCGCGUUGAACGAGCCGACUGACCCGGGGAUUCCCUUCCAGAACCUCGCGAAUGUCUGCGGCUGAGUCGAGGCUGCUUCGUGACUGGCUCCUCGUCGCUGUCGCUACUGCAACGGUAUGGCACCACGUUCUGGAACACGAAAUCGCCAAAUCAGUUGAUCCGAUAAAUCCUGCGCCGUUCACCACCAUCGAUUAUAUGAAAUCGUACGCGAAUCGAGUAGAGGCCAAUUCUGGAACCAUUUCUUCAAAUUAAAAUACAAAAUUUGUUUUGGAGAAGGAGAUCAAUAAAUAAAAUUUAAUCUAAGCGAGGUGGACCAGAAUUGAAGAGAUUUAAAUGGAGCGGAAGUUCGGCACGUGUUGGGUGUGGCAAAAAUUAGUCAAACAUCGAGUAUCCAGAAAUUUUUCUACCAUCUCCGUCUUUAUUCUCGAUUCAACUAAUUUUACUCUGGCGCCGAUCCAACCCGGUUUUCUGUGAAUUCUUAUAAAACAUCGUUUCCUUCUCUGUGUUCUUAAGAGAUACAUCCAUCGUCCUACUAUCGCUCGUGUCGACAGAAAUUUCCACUCGAUACACGUGCCGUGGAAAAAUACUUCCAAUGUCAUUGAACCAACCGAUUUCGAAACCUAAUUCUAAGCGUGAUAAUGAUUAUGCGCAUGGAACUUUGCUAAAUUGCAGUGUUUUGUAAUCGUGCGGCUACGCCAUUGCACGAGGCAAACGACACAAAGUGACUAACAAAAGAUAAAUAUGCUCGAUGGACAGUGCUGAUAAUAAAGAACGUGGGUAUAUCGGGAAUAAAUGCAGGAUUAAUGGCCAAUUGCAGCGAGGCUCGACUAAAUUUAGAGGCCGUGCCAUUCAAAGGAUACCUUACCUCAGACCUUAUUGCAACAUCAAUUAAAAGCACGAAUUAAUUAUAAUCCAGUCACUGCUAAACAAUAAAUGCAAUUACAAACUUCUUCGAACAAUACUCGAUACUUUAAUUACUUUUCAUUUGACGCGUUACACGCUGCACAUUUUUCUUCAAUAAUUCCAGGAAUUGUAUGCGACUCUUAAACUGAUAAUAUCUGAUAAUCAUUCUGUAUGUUAGUUGAAUGCACCUCGAUAACAGAUAGAAAUAUAUUCAAGAACGAGAUAAAAUCUUGUUUGUUACGUAACAAGCGAUCAUCGAUAAGUUCCUUUCAAUAAAAUUUUCAUCGCAGAUCUUUUCACCGUUCUCCAUGGAUC